rnacentral:rRNA from 1 species
AUGUCUGUCGAGGUGCUUUCUUAUUUAUUUGACAUGAUAAAGCAUGGACCUUCUUGCUCGUUCGUCGCUACGCAUCUCAGCUCCAGUAACCAGGUUGCGAUGGCUGACGAUGAGCUCCAGGUUCAUGGCUCGCCAGGCUCCUCUUCGGUCGUCGCUACGCAUCUCAGCUCCAGUAAACAGGUCGCGAUGGCUGACGAUGAGCUCCAGGUUCAUGGCUCACCAGGCUCCGCUGGCUCCACCAACAGUUGUCUACGAACACUUGCACAGAUUAUACUAUCGUAUCAGUCUUCACUUCUGAGCUACUCUUGCUAUGAUUCACGCAUACUUGAUGGAAACCCAGUGAGUGUUCAGGAUCCCACACAGAACAGUUCUUGA